rnacentral:tRNA from 1 species
AGUUAAUUAGCUUUAUAAAAGUUUUUAUCUUGAAAAUAAAAGAAAGAAAUUAGUUUUUCUAUUAACUU